UGUCAGGAAAGCCCCAUGACCCUCAAGUGU
rnacentral:piRNA from 1 species